GGCAGGGUAGCUCAGUUGGUAGAGCGUGGGACUCAUAAGCCCGAGGUCGUGGGUUCAAUCCCCACCCCUGCUACCA
rnacentral:tRNA from 3 species